CAGGACGAACGCUGGCGGCGUGCUUAACACAUGCAAGUCGAGCGGUAAGGCCCUUCGGGGUACACGAGCGGCGAACGGGUGAGUAACACGUGAGCAACCUGCCCCUGACUCUGGGAUAAGCGGUGGAAACGCCGUCUAAUACCGGAUACGACCUUCCGACCUCAUGGUGGAGGGUGGAAAGUUUUUUCGGCAGGGAUGGGCUCGCGGCCUAUCAGCUUGUUGGUGGGGUAACGGCCUACCAAGGCGAUUACGGGUAGCCGGCCUGAGAGGGCGACCGGCCACACUGGGACUGAGACACGGCCCAGACUCCUGCGGGAGGCAGCAGUGGGGAAUAUUGCGCAAUGGGCGAAAGCCUGACGCAGCGACGCCGCGUGGGGGAUGACGGCCUUCGGGUUGUAAACCUCUUUUACCACCAACGCAGGCUCCGGGUUCUCUCGGGGUUGACGGUAGGUGGGGAAUAAGGACCGGCUAACUACGUGCCAGCCGCAGC
rnacentral:rRNA from 1 species